AAGCACCUGCCUCAGCUGCCAGCCUGCUCCUACAAACCCCACAGCUUGCACAGAGCAGCUGAGCUGAGCUGAUGCCAGGAAAGUGAAGGUCUUCUAAGACAAUGUUUAAACUUGUGUAUGCUCAGAUUUUGUAAUUACAGAUACAGAACAUCUCCACCUUCUCGAGCAGACUUUGUGAGGCUGAUGGUCUUGAGGAAUGUGCUUUGGACUACACUGACUUCCAAAACUAUACAAUCAACAUAGCUUUCUGCUUCUGGAAUUCAGGUUCCCAGAUCAGGAUGAUGCAUGGAAAAAGCAUGCAGAUAAAGCACGAUUUGCCCAAACAUGUCAUCAGAAACUGACUUCUUAAAGUGUGUCUCUGCUGUACAAGGACACGAUAUGUGCUUAAGCCUUUGGGCCUAUGAGAAAUAGACACGUGAUGCAAGUGUAUAUAUACAAUGAAUGGAGUUGGGACAAAUGUUUGAAGACUUAUUGCAACAAGUUGCUCACAAAUGAUCUACAGCAAGAGUUACUUCCAGAAUGGUUUCUGCACAUGUGUUUGGAAAAAAGAUAUUCAAGCAAAUCAAUCUGCUUGUGGACAAAUAAUGAAAAGAGAAAAGGAAAAAUUCUUCCAACAAAUAUGAAACUGCAAAUUAUUCACUCAGCUCAGCUGGCAACAACCAAUUUUUGUGGUAGUAGGAGCUCAUGGAGUAGGAGGUAACUGUGUGAAGAAUGAUUGGUUUGGUAUCUUAUAUUGCAAUUCUGGAAAGGGCUUCAACUUCUAAUUUAAAAGCCAUCUUCCUUCUUUUACCCAGUAAAGAAAACAAAAUAACAGUUGAUUUCUGGGAGCUGUUUUGGGCAGAUAGGAUCUAUUUUAUGUCCUCUAGACACUGACAACAGCUAGCUCAUAAGAAAGAGCAGUUAGUUAUCAGAAAAGAUCUCUCUUGCCAGGAAAAAAACCCCAAAGCCUGCCUAAGGAAGGAUAUUGCCAUCAAAAUCCUCUUUUCAUCUUCCCAGGAACAACACAUAAUGGGUCUAAACUUGGUGCAUCUUUGAGUUGUGGAGCCUUGUGUAAGCUGCACUUCCACAGCCCAUUUUUUGGUACGAACACUGAUUUACUUCCCUCUUGGAAGAAUACAAAGCACAUUUGGGACAUCUCUGAACUAAGAGCACCUUUUGCUUCUCCUUCCUGACUCCUGGGAUGAAGCCAGCCACCCUUUUGGUGAGAGGCUCUGGGAUGCUGCAGUGGGAUGCCAGCAGAAUUGUCUUCUUCUCCAAACAAAGUGACCAUAGCAUGCUCUGUUUAUGCCUGUGGAGUGGUGGAUGAGAGUUUAGCAUUCAACUCUUCGUAACGCCUUCCAUGUGUAUUCUUGAUUGAAUAUGUAACUCCUAAUUUAUUCCUGAGCAGGCACAUGCUCUCUUCCAAGGCAUAGCAGAUGCAAGGGAGUCCACUGCAUCCCUAAUGCUUUACUUCACAAAAACCUUAAAAUGCUAAAGCCAUAAAUAGGCAUUAUACCACAAUCUUUGGCUGAAUGAUCUCCAACAUUACUGCAGAUCUUAGUCAUAGUGAAAGCUUUUACAAGCUACUUUGAGCUAAUGGCAAAAUAGUUUUCCUUUAAAGCAGGGAUGUGUUCCUUUCUACAAAUCCUAAUUGCCAUGAUUCUAUUGUAAGUUCUGGGCUUAGUUACACUGAGCUUGAGUUAGCUUGUUAAAACUUAACCCUAACCAUUGACCAGAGAUUAAUUUUACCCUUUCUGUGGUUUUUGAGAGAAAGAUACUGGGACUGAGACUCUUUCAUGUCACCAAAGUCAGCAAUGGCAAAAAGGUGUAUUUCUUCAAGAAAUGUUCUAGGCAACCUCCUCAGCACCAGAGGGUUUUGCUGCAGAAUGUGAUAUUCAGGAGCCAUUUCUCCAGCCCACUAGCAUACAGGAUGAGGAUAUCUGCAUUCAGCUGAGCUAUGCCAAAGCUACUUUGACUUCCUGUCUCUUAUACCUUUCUUUCCAUGCUGUAAAUCCAUGUUAGUUUCAAGACUGCUUGAAAAGUCUGUGGCUGGCAAUGCCAGCCCAUGGCUGGUGAACAUCCUACCCACUGCUGGUGCUUUAGGAGCCCUUUCUGCAGCACCUGCCUCCUUGGGACAGGAGCUGGGGCAUUCAAUAGCUCAUCACCUCAUUGUCAGAGCACAGCUGAUAUGUUAGUGGACUGACUUCAACUAUUUCACUGCAGGAGAGCUUUAAUUCUGAAUAUUGUAAGAAUAUAGACAAAUUUCUCAGCCUGCUUCAGUCUGUGAAUUGCAGAUAUAUAUAUAGGUUGUUUGAUCCUGGAUACAAAACCCACCACUGCCCUCUGUCUUUACCUUCCCCAUUCCCUGCAAUUUGUGAACGUUUCCCUAGAAGGGGUAAGAAAACAUUCAGCUGCUGCAGAUCCUUCUAAACACACCUGCUUGUUUGUUUGUUUAUUUGUUUGUUUAAUUUGCUGCAUAUGAUUAACUCCACUGAGUUUCUGCCAGGCAGAAUUUGCAACUCAAAGUACCCCAUGAGUGUGCUGCAACACUGCCAGGAAUUGAAUACCAUCAGUCUUCAUAAUUGCUGUUUCCAAAGAUCAGGUAUAGCAGACAGGCUAUUUUGGGCUAUAAAAGGAAAUCAGAAAAUGAAAUUUUCUUUCACUGCUAGUUCCUCUCCUGGGAAUUUUAGUCCUUUUCUCUGUGCACAUGCUUUGGUUGUUGGUAUAUUGGUAAUGUGGGUCUCUCAGAGUAUCUGUCACUGGAGCCUGUUCUGAAGUGCUGCAAUGCCAGUGAACAUGGGAAAUCAUUCCCACAAGUACCAAUGUGCUGUUUGUUGAUAUAAUAUCAUAUAUUAGACCAAAACCAGAUCAGGAUAGCCUGAUUUACCCCAUGAUGCUGGUGACAGGUGAUUCAAAAGUAAGGUUCACAAAGUAAGUAAAGGUAUUUCCCAGCUACCUACCCUUCCUUUUCUAAUAGUGGUAAUCCAUUUGCAACUCUCAGUUUUGUAGAUUGCCUGUUACCUCCUGUGGAUGAUCAAAGUCUAGUCAUGAAAAUGCAGGCACUCUGGACUUGCAGUCCUGCCAAUGUCAGGGAUGUCUGGCCUUGCCAUCUAAAUCACCCCUAUCAUAUGGAUCUAAUGCAAGAACUUUUCAUGGCCUUUAAAUCUGAGAAGUUCCAAUUAUUGUUCUUCUAUCAUCAAUUCUUCUAUCAUCAGUUCUAUCAUUCCUCGUGAAUUAUGCAUUUUUCUUUUUUCUGGAAAAAGCUUUGCAUUAUUAGGAGUUCAAGAGAUUAGGUUUUGCUACAGCAACAUGCAGAUCUUGGAACUUGAGAACAAACCAUUAGCAUCAUAUGCACUUUUCUGUUGCCCCUAAUGGUAAUGAGAAGCAUUUUCUGGGCUAGAAAAUACACUCAUUAGUUCAUGACAGGGUGAUUCUAGGCCUGUAUGCCCUUGUUUGAUUAAAUGCUAAUCACAAGAGUCCUUUGAUAGAGUCAAAAAAUAAUUAUCCUUUGAUAUUUUAGUCAAUUGUAGUACUACUGAGAAGCACUCUUUUCCUGCCUAUAGAAAUAAAGAACCCAUUUAACCUUGGAAAAACAAGAUUCAUGCUAUUUUCUUCACAGAAGGAAAAGGAGUGUGCUUUUUUUGGGUACAGACCUAUUCAGUGAGAGACAUCUUAGUGUUCUGGGGUGAUUUUAUGAUGCUUGUAUCCCCAUUCGUCUAUUCAACCCAGAAAUAAGUUUUGCACCUUUAGGACUGGUUCCAAGAGUGAAGAGGGAAGAGAGUGAAGAGAGGAGACACACGGAGUUUGUUAUCACAAACUGCACUUGCUCCCCUGCAUCCUUCUCCUGCACUGUGUUGUCUGCGGCAAGGACAGAUAGCGGGAUAGAUGUCUCCUUUGAUUUUUGUAAGCCUUUAGUUAUCUGAGGCAGAGAAUUUCUCUGGACUGUUUUUUUCCGUUUUUUGUGGAACUGCUUAAACCUGCUCUGAACCGAAAACUCAGAAGAGCAGCAGCAGCUCACACCUGAGACCCACCGGACUGGGCCAGGGCUGCGGCAUUUCCAGUGCGGGAGGGACUGGUAACAGAAUGAGUUAGCAGAGCUACAGCCCACCAAGGAGGCUUUCUGAGAGUGUGUCAUCACUUCUAAGUGGCAAGAGGUUUUAUUGUUUAAUAUUGUUCAUUUUUUAUUCUGCUGGUGAAUGCUUUGCCUGUUAAACAUGUUUUUUCCACUUUCCUCCAAAGAAAUCUUUUCCGGAACCAGUUGGAGGAGGGGCCACUUGAAUCUGCUUUCCAGAGGAACGCCUUUGGAAGUUUUCUCCCAAAUUUGCACUAAUCCAAGACACUUAGUCAACAGGGGUCAGCUCUGGCACUGAGAGAAGACGAAAUAAUUUGAGACAGUAUGUGAAAAAAAAAACCCAGAUGGCUUUAACUGAAUUCAUAGAAAACAUAUUUUGUCUUUUAUCCAGCCAUCACGUGAUAAUCCUGACAUCCCAAACUGUUGUCACAGUCAUAUGCUCUCAUUCUCUUAGUCUUCCACUUUGCUUUGUCAUUUACAGGAUUCAUAUGCUUGACUGCAAGCAACCUGAUGCUGUUCACUAGUUACUUGGUUUGAUAUUAAAAUAUUAUUAAAAUUGAAAAAACAUUUAGAAAUUUGGACGACUGUGACCCAGUAAAAAUUCUCAGAGCACAGUGAAAGAUGUAAAAUCCUUAGAUUUACUUUGAAGAGGUCCUAUCCCCCUCUGUCUCUCCUUGUCCACCUUGGCCUGCAGCCACCCUUGUUGAUGCUCCUUCCUCUGCAGCUUUCUCAUGGAGGCUCCUUUCUUUUACAUGAUUUAUUGAGCUGUCUUCAUCCUCAUCCCUCUCUAGUCUUCCUUCAGAAACAGCUGAAGACCCAGCAAUUACCUGUGCUUCCUUGCUUUAUCACCAGCUCAAAGCCUUUAGAUUAUUGAUGGUAACAGCUGACCCCCAUCCUUUAAUCCCACAGUUUUCUCUGUAAAGCCUCUUGUCACAGCACUUCUUUCUCCUUGAGCCACUGUGGUUCCUCAAAAUUAGAGGAGCAACAGUGAACAGAUAACAGCUAUGAGGACACACAGCUCUCAGCCAGCAGCAUCCUGACCUACAGCAGUCCCUGAGUUCAGUAACCACUGAAACUGCAAAGUUAUGCCCAAAGGGUGGCAUACAGGUCCAUCCCUGUAUUUGCAGCAUCCACCAUUGAUGAUCCUGUGCUUGAUUCCAUUGAUGAUCUUGUGGUCUAUCAAGGAGACUUUGCAUCAGAGUAUGUGUCAGAAAAGUAGUUUUUCUCAGAAUAGGAAUCAAGAUCAGGAGGCAAAAACCCUCACUGCCUAAAUAGGGCUGAAAUCUGAACAAGAAGUGUCCGCUAAUAUAUCUGCCAGUUCUCUUCUGCUAGAGCUGUGCUGUUUGAACAAAGAAUACUCUGGUUUUGUUAUUCAUGUUUUCUUAUGUUGCCCCAUGCCCACAUGGCCCAUAUGCUGUGUAGGCACAAACAUGCAUAUGUUGUGCAGAACAUCCGCAGUGCUAAAUCAUGAUCCUCAUGUCCUGCUUUCCCAGCCUUCAACCAGAGGUUAUUUUUCACCACCAACCUAAAAGGGCUCAGAAGAAAGCUCUCUUUGGAUUAAAUAUUUAUCUAAGUUGACUUGUGUAUUCUCAGAGGCCCCACUAAUCUCAGACUUCACAGCAGUUUCUAAAAUAAAGUAAAAGCAAUAGAAUAAGAUGAAAUAACAUAACAAUAAAUGAAAUGAAAUAAAAUAAAUUAGUCUAAGUCACCAUUAGUUUUAUGACUGAGCUCUUCUGCCAUAUUCACAGGUCCCGCUUGGGAUCAGACCUGUGCUUCUCCAUCCUGUUUGGUUUGGGCCCAAGGCAAUGGCAAGACAGCAGUUUAUUUCAGCUGAGAAUUUCAUGCCAGGCUAUUCUGGGACUGGGUGAAACUUGUCCUCCGUAAUUACUUUACAAUCAGUGAAGAGCUCUUUCUAAGAGCAGCCUGAUGUGAUACAAAGCACGUUUACUUUAAAUAUAUGGGCUUGUACAGUGUAAUGGCAAGAAAGGACGAUGGCCUGGACAGUGCAGGGUGUUCACUUGAGAGACCACAAAAGUGCUAUGGCUGUGACAGAACGGGCAGAAAUAGAACAUUUAACCAGUCCUGAGGCUGCUAACAAGGGACCAAAGAAAUUCGUGGGAGAGCUGGAAAGUUUUUGAUGUGUAAUAACACAUCACUCUCCAGUGCUACACUGAAUUUUAUUCCAAAAAUAUAUGUACUUCAAUAAAUGAAAUAUCAACCUGU